UAAAACAACAACAACAACAACAAAAAAUAUACUCUGUGGUGGUCUCUGCGGUGUUCCACGCCAUCGUCUGCUGGGGUGGGGGGAGCAUGGCCAGUGACAGGAGCAGACCCAACAAAGCAACCAAGAGAGCCGACUCCACCCUCGGCAGCCAACCAACUCUGGGCCAGUGUCCAGUCUGCAUGGAUGAGCGAGGAUGCAUGAGAAUGGUUGUUUGUCUACGUGCAUCAUGGGGGACCUCAAGCCAGCUGGGAUAGGCUCCAGCUACAGGAUGGGUGGAGUUCUCCAAAUCUGUUUAUGAUAUCGGCUAAUCUGCAACUCCAGCUUCGCACUUGUGCCGAAAAUGCAAAUGAUAUCAGAAAACAUCUUCUCACGCGACUCGACAUUGCAAAGUAUGCCUCGCAGUGCGUUGGCACAGCGACACCUGACACGCCUGCUUACCUCUCCUCUGGCUGCUCCUUCGUCUGCACGCGCCGCAGGACACGCCCAUACACGCUCUGCUUCUGCUGCCACGCGCCAGCACAGCUGUGCGCAAUCAUCAAUCGACACACCUACUGCUGAUGACAUCACUCCCCAUAAAAGCCAGCGUGUCCAGAGAACCAACGCUGGAACGUAGUCUCUGCUUGCAUAUUCCCUCCGUCGCCUUGGAAGUGAGCUGUGCGCCUCACUUCUCUGGACCCCUCUGGAUUCUGAUUGCCUCCCUCGAUCCUCGACCCCCACUUUGGACUUGGACCUCUUGACGCCCCUCUCAGCCC